GAUGAACGCUGGCGGCGUGCCUAAUACAUGCGAGUCGAGCGAACAGACGAGGAGCUUGCUCCUCUGACGUUAGCGGCGGACGGGUGAGUAACACGUGGAUAACCUACCUAUAAGACUGGGAUAACUUCGGGAAACCGGAGCUAAUACCGGAUAAUAUAUUGAACCGCAUGGUUCAAUAGUGAAAGACGGUUUUGCUGUCACUUAUAGAUGGAUCCGCGCCGCAUUAGCUAGUUGGUAAGGUAACGGCUUACCAAGGCAACGAUGCGUAGCCGACCUGAGAGGGUGAUCGGCCACACUGGAACUGAGACACGGUCCAGACUCCUACGGGAGGCAGCAGUAGGGAAUCUUCCGCAAUGGGCGAAAGCCUGACGGAGCAACGCCGCGUGAGUGAUGAAGGCCUUCGGAUCGUAAAACUCUGUUAUUAGGGAAGAACAAAUGUGUAAGUAACUAUGCACGUCUUGACGGUACCUAAUCAGAGAGCCACGGCUAACUACGUG
rnacentral:rRNA from 1 species